UGGGGUGGCUAUGGCGGAGGGGAAACACCUCUUCCCAUUCCGAACAGAGUAGUUAAGCCCUCCAGCGCCGAUGGUACUGCCCGGGAGACCGGGUGGGAGAGUAGGUCGCCGCCCCUU
rnacentral:rRNA from 1 species